rnacentral:rRNA from 1 species
GUGACAUGAAGAGUUUGAUCCUUGCUCAGGAUUAACGCUGGCGGUAUGCAUAACACAUGCAAGUUGAACGGACUCGUUUUAUAAAAUGAGUUAGUAGCAGACGGGUGAGUAAUAUGUGAGAAUCUACGUUUAGGUGGGGGAUAACUUAUAGAAAUAUUUGUUAAUACCCCAUAAUUGUGCUAUAAAGUAAAAAUUUUUUGCCUAAACAUGAGCUUGCAUCUGAUUAGUUUGUUGGUUGGGUAAUGGCUUACCAAGACUUUGAUCAGUAGCUGAUUUGAGAGAAUGGUCAGCCACACUGGAAUUGAGAACGGAACAGACUCCUAUGGGAGGCAGCAGUGGGGAAUUUUCCGCAAUGAGUGAAAACUUGACGGAGCAAUACCGCGUGUAGGAAGAAGGCUGUAUUAGUUGUAAACUUCUUUUUUCAAAAAAGAAUAAGUGACGUUAUUUGAAGAAUAAGCAUCGGCUAAUUCCGUGCCAGCAGCCGCGGUAAUACGGGGGAUGCAAGUGUUAUCCGGAAUUAUUGGGCGUAAAGGGUCAGGAGGUGGUAUUAUGUGUUUAAUGUUAAAUGUUAAAGCUUAACUUUAUAAAGGCAUUGAAAACUGUAAUACUAGAGUAUGGUAGAGGUAAAGGGAAUUUCCAGUGUAGCGGUGAAAUGCGUAAAUAUUGGAAAGAACACCAAAGGCGAAGGCACUUUGCUAGGCCAAUACUGACAUUGAGAGACUAAAGCUAAGGUAGCAAACAGGAUUAGAUACCCUGGUAGUCUUAGCCGUAAACUAUGGAUACUAAGUUAUGAAGAUUCUGUAUUUAUAUGUGUUAGAUAUAUAUAUAGAUAUGAGGAUGCAUUUCUAAAGUUAACACGUUAAGUAUCCCGCCUGGGGAGUAUUCUUGCAAAAGUGAAACUCAAAGGAAUUGACGGGGGCCCGCACAAGCGGUGGAGCAUGUGGUUUAAUUCGAUGCAACACGAAAAACCUUACCAAGACUUGACAUGCUAGAGUAAAUGAUUAUUAUUAAUCAUGUAAUUAAAAAAUCUAGGCACAGGUGGUGCAUGGCUGUCGUCAGCUCGUAUCGUGAGAUGUAUGGUUUAGUCCUAUAACGAGCGCAACCCUUAUCUUUAGUUAAAUUUGUAUAUUAAAGAAACUGCUGUUGACAAAUCAGAGGAAGGAGAGGAUGACGUCAAGUCAUCAUGCCCUUUAUGUCUUGGGCUACACACGUGCUACAAUGGUUAAGACAAUUAGUUGCAAACUUGUAAAAGUGAGCUAAUCUAUAAACUUAAUCUAAGUUCGGAUUGUAGGCUGAAACUCGUCUACAUGAAGUUGGAAUCGCUAGUAAUCGCCGGUCAGCUAUACGGCGGUGAAUAUGUUCUCGGGCCUUGUACACACCGCCCGUCACACCAAGGAAGUUAGUUGUGUUUGAUAUUGUUUUUUUAACCUUUUGGGAAAUGAUAAUUAGGGCCUGGCUGGUGACCGUGGUGAAGUCGUAACAAGGUAGCCGUACUGGAAGGUGCGGCUGGAAAAAUGUUUU